rnacentral:rRNA from 1 species
ACGAACGCUGGCGGCGUGCUUCACACAUGCAAGUCGAACGGAAAGGCCCUGCUUUUGUGGGGUGCUCGAGUGGCGAACGGGUGAGUAACACGUGAGUAACCUGCCCUUGACUUUGGGAUAACUUCAGGAAACUGGGGCUAAUACCGGAUAGGAGCUCCUGCUGCAUGGUGGGGGUUGGAAAGUUUCGGCGGUUGGGGAUGGACUCGCGGCUUAUCAGCUUGUUGGUGGGGUAGUGGCUUGCCAAGGCUUUGACGGGUAGCCGGCCUGAGAGGGUGACCGGCCACAUUGGGACUGAGAUACGGCCCAGACUCCUACGGGAGGCAGCAGUGGGGAAUAUUGCACAAUGGGCGGAAGCCUGAUGCAGCAACGCCGCGUGCGGGAUGACGGCCUUCGGGUUGUAAACCGCUUUCGCCUGUGACGAAGCGUGAGUGACGGUAAUGGGUAAAGAAGCACCGGCUAACUACGUA